UUUCUAGAAGAGAGUUGACUGUUCAUAAAAAAAACAUCUCUUACUCUGCAAGAUCUACGGUCAUAUUGGCACAAGGGCGUAUUGAAUAUCUUCUUUCUACUAAUCCUCUUUAUACUUUUACUGACAGGGCAAAAAUGAGGUAGUAAGUUGGUUUUACUGUGACAGUUAUUAUCGGAAUCAAAUCAAGGGUGCACAAAUAGUGGUUACUAACAUAAUACAUAGCAGGUGCUUGCAUCCUAACUUUCCUUUUAAUGGCAUCCAAGAACAUAGCUUCAGAUUCAGAUGCACUUCAGUUACAGAAUAAACAUUCUUAUUCUCUCUGAAGAACUAAAGGCCUAUCCCUUUGAGAAAAUGCUUAAGAUCUUAGAGGAAAAAGCUUUAAAAUGAUAAUGAAGAGAAGGACUGACUUUAAAAUGAUUUUGUAUAGAGGUAGGAAAUAACCAUUAGCCAUCCUCUCCAAAAUUUUGUGCAUGCUUAGUGCAAACUAUAGAAUUGUUUUUCUUCAGUUUCAAAUUGAAUAAAAUUCCUGGUGAAGUCAGUUAAUAAGCACCACAGCGUCAGAUCCAAAGAACCAAAUGUAAAUAUUAUUUCUUCCUGUCCAGGUCAGAGUAUUUUACUUUUAAGACAAGCUUCAUUUUUAUUCAUAAAAUUCCCCAAGGAAAAUCCUUCCAAGCACACGUUCAGCUAUUUGAUUCAGAGGGAAACAUCAGGCAUAGCUUCGAGGUGACGCACAUUUCCCGCGCCAGCUUCCUGCAAGCCUCUCGGUGCAUGUUACAGCACAUCCCAGCCUUGCUCUGUUAACCACACAGAUAACAAGAACAUAGGACCUAUCUGAAAUGUGAAUAAUUUAUCACAAAUUCCAGACUCUCACUGAACUGUUUGCCACCCAGCAAGGCACUCAAGCAUGUGCUCAGUGGGAAGAUUUUUCUAAAUUGUGAUUAACCGCUUAAUUAAAGCCUGAAAGUCCUUUCCCGGACAAGUAGUGGUACCGUUGAGUUCAAGUGUCAGAUCUGGCUGGCUCUGACCAGGUGCCUGUCAUCACUUCCAGAUUUCUGGCUUUUAAACCAAAUUCUUAGAGCGCUGCCAGUGCACUGCAGCAUGUCACAGCUGGAAAUGGUCCAACAGCAAUUUAGUUUUAAGCAUAACAAAGGCAGGAAGAGGGAGCAUAGGCACCGCAUAUUCCUGAGCUUGCCAAAACAUGCUUCCAGAGAUGUGCUGCUGAAGAACAGGGGAGUCUUGCAGACACUGCGCCAUCUUCUCAUGCAUUAAUUUAAUCAGCUUUGGAAAGAACCAAGGCCUUAUCGUAUUCAAGUAGGAAAAACCUAAAAAUGCUGCUUCCAUCAUACCUAUGAAGAAAGUGAAUAAGCUUCCUGUUACUACUGGACGCUGGAAGUUUCCCUGCACCCGCAGCCAGUAUUCUGCUGUGCAAUGAUGCACUACAGCACACUCAUACGGCAGCAGCUGAACGAAUCACGGGAAAGGCUGGAGAACUUCGCUGACUGGGAAAACGUGUGAGCUCUAUAGGAAACGCACGGCCAGGAAAUCAACAUUUAUUUCCAACAUCUGUCUCCUAUCAACUUCUCUGGAAUAAAGGUGGAUAUGUCAUUACCUUUUACA